rnacentral:tRNA from 1 species
GAGGGUAUAGCUCAGUGGUAGAGUGUAUGCUUAGCAUAACACGAGGCCCUGGGUUCAAUCCCCAGUCCCUCCA